rnacentral:lncRNA from 1 species
GAGAGCGCCAGUGCGUAGCCACGAUUCUGGGAGAGGAGGUGCUCGGAGGAAAGGGCGGGGGUUGCUGAUGUAAUGGGGAGAAGUGAUUAAUCCUUCAGUUCGCUGUUUCAGCCUCCCCCCACCCCAACCUUCACCCGAUUUUUUUGAGCUGAAAAAAAAGUGAAACGAGGGAGCCAAUCUGGUAACUCGGGUUUUCUGUGGUAGGUGGGUUCAAAAUCUGAGCUGUAGGGAGCGCUAGAGAUUUCGUGCCCUUUAGCCAAGCAGAGGGUAUUUGCAAACCCUGGAGAUUUCCUUCUCAGAGCUUUGGGCUUGGUAACUGAAGUUUGGAAUCGGUUCCUAAUCCUAGAUCAUCUAAACCUGUUUGACCUUUGGCCAAUUGGACUUGUUCUUUGAAGAAGUGUAUACAAUGUUCGGGAAAAUAAUUAUGUGAGAGGAGAGAAGGCCUUCUGAAGUACAAGGCUCAGGGCAGGCACCCUACUUGCCCAAGUCUAAGAGUGGCAUUGCAGACCAAUAAUAAAUGCCAUGUGGGACCAAUACAUAUAUUGACCAAUGUUUCAGAAACUAGAGAUUUAUCUUCUUCCAGGCAAAGGUUCAUUUGAGUAAUAAAAAUAAAUCUUCCAAAAGUCUCCCAUCUGGUGUCAGCCUUUACCUUUCAAUGCUGGGUCAAGGCAGAGGAUAGAAGAAUGCUUCCAGGGAAGGCAGAAGGAAAAAGAAGACACGUUCUCUGCCAGCAUAAGUGAGAAUCAGGGCCGUGCUUACUCCUCACAGAAACUAGGAACUUCUAAACAAUUAUUAAGGACUUAGUUUUGAUUUUCCUCCUUUGAAUGAGUAAGUAGUUUAAGACUUUUAGUAUUUUUUUUCUUUCUUUCUUUCUUUUUUUUAGAGAUGGGGUUUCUCCAUGUUGGCCAGGCUGGUUUCAAACUCCUGAUCUCAGGUGAUCCGCCCACCUCGGUGCCCGGCUGACUUUUAGUAUUUUUAGAAAGAGUUAAUUGGUUUUUUAAAAAGUUAUCACUGGUUGGGCAUGGUGACUCAUGCUUGUAAU